UUUCUGCUCAAAGUUGCCAUUUUUAAGGAAUCCUGAAGGAAAGUGAAGAUCAGAAAUUGUGGUCAAAGAGAUUAGUUAAGCAAAAAGGAUCAGCUUUUGCCUUAACAGAGACAGAAGAAAACAAAAUAACAAAAACCCAACACAAAAGAACAAUUUUUAAGCUAAACACAACUAUCUAGAGGCAAAUGAGGCUUAAUUUAACUUGAAAGAUGGGAGCAUUACCUUCCAUAUACUUAGCAGCCAAAGCAGACCCAUUGAAGAACAAGAAGAAAGCAAGCAAAAGGGAAAUCCCCAUUGCCAUUUUCAAAAAGAAAUGAGCACAAGGUAGAUGGAGAGAGAGCAAGAAAUGCUUUAAAUUUAUGGUGAGAAAAGUGCGAAGAGUGUGAAAUUAAUGAAGAUGGGCUAUUUUGAAGAUUAGUGAGCAAAACAGAUAAAGCUUAGCAGAAAUCACGUUCAACAGCAAUUGCUCUUCUGAUCCAUUUGUCUCUUCCUUGUCCCUGUUUUCUCAAAUCCACAACUUUUUUUUUCAAUCUCCACAAUUCAUGGCAGUGGCACUUGUGUAAUUUCAUUACUCAACUCAAAAG
rnacentral:misc_RNA from 1 species